UACAGAGGUGGCAAGCGUUGUUCGGAAUUACUGGGCGUAAAGGGCGCGUAGGCGGCCAUCUAAGUCAGACGUGAAAUCCCCCGGCUUAACCUGGGAACUGCGUCUGAUACUGGAAGGCUCGAGUUUGGGAGAGGGAUGUAGAAUUCCAGGUGUAGCGGUGAAAUGCGUAGAUAUCUGGAGGAAUACCGGUGGCGAAGGCGGCAUCCUGGACCAUUACUGACGCUGAGGCGCGAAAGCUAGGGGAGCAAACGGG
rnacentral:rRNA from 1 species